CUACCUGGGUUUGUUGAAAGCAUGGCAGAUGUGAGCACAGUCCGAAUUCAAUCCGCUAGCAUCCACAUUGAAGCAUCAUAGAGGCAAUGCCUUUUCACCAACAUGUCAAUGAGGAAUUGUGACAGUAAAUGGUCAACCUUA